CACAUGUGUAGAGAGCAGCUACUGUAUAGAAAGCAGCUGCUGUGUUGAAAGCAGCUACUCUGUUAAAAGCAGCUACUGUAUUGAAAGCAGCAGUAUUGGAGGUAAAAUGACACUUCAUAAUUUAUAAUUACUGGGUAAAUAUAAAAUCAUGUACUGUAAAAUAGAUAGGAAGA